GCACUGCCGAGGAGUCUCAUAGUAGGACGAAACGGCCGUCCAGUGC
rnacentral:hammerhead_ribozyme from 1 species